rnacentral:misc_RNA from 1 species
UUCCGAAGGUGAUGCCCAGGAAGCCUUAGCUGCCUGAAAGGGUGUGCUCCGCGACUCGAUUAAACAAUGGACGCUUAAAUGCUAGUCAGUAUAGUUGCUGGCCACACCGUCAAAUUGCGGGAAGCUCCUAAAGCUCUCAGCUACCAAGCAGUGUAAGGAAACCUCACUGUGGCCAGGGUAAUGACCUCGGGUAUGGUAAUAACGCUGGAGAUAAACCUCUCGAUACGAGGUGAAAUGGAUAAUCCGCAGC